rnacentral:hammerhead_ribozyme from 1 species
AUCCAGCUGACGAGUCCCUAAUAGGACGAAACGUGCGUCCCGGAU